AUGGAGAGCGAUAUAUCUCUGAGGGAUAAAGGCGGCAAUUACGACGUCGUUGUGGAUAUUCAGAUUCCGGGCUCUGAAGAAAAUGGUCAGCUCCGCCGCCGCCUCCACCGGCGGCGGCGCAGCUGUUGGUCCCAGCUCUUGUUGCCCCUGACCCUCCGCAAAACCGCCGAUCGUGCCCACCAUACGGCGCGGACCUCGACGACAACAUCAGCUUACUCCAAGCUCAAGUCGAGAAUCGCCGAGCCUCCAUUUCCGGGCAGCUCCAAGCCAACCGAGGAAAAUUCCCAAAAUGCCCCUGCGAAGUCUCCGACGACUAACCCCGGUACUCCGAAAACAUCCGUUCCGAUCACACCAAGAACCCCUUUAAUGGCUUCCGUUGACAACGACGAUGACGACGAUGAUGAUGACGUGUACAAUACCGAAAACAUCAAGCUCGAUAAAGUAAAGCGAGGUAAGAAAGUGAAAGCAUUGGUUGUGAUCGAGUGGAUUGUAUUUAUCAGCAUAACGGCUCUCUUGAUUUCGAGUUUAACCGUUGGGAAAUUGAAAAACCAUACCCUCAUUUGGGGUUUGAAUUUGUGGAAAUGGUGUGUGUUGGCGUUGGUGAUCUUCUGCGGCCGUCUGUUUACCGGAUGGUUGACCAACGUGUUCGUUUUCUUGAUCGAGAAGAACUUCCUUCUCAAGAAGAAGGUCUUGUACUUUCUAUACGGAUUGAAAAAGAGCGUUCGUGUCGUAGUUUGGUUGAUCUUUAUCCUUGUGGCAUGGGUUCUGUUGAUUAAUCGAGGGGUUAAAAGAACCAAAAAAACCUCCAAGAUUCUAAACUACAUAACUCGAGGCAUUGUGUCCACGCUCGUCGGGGCGGUUAUGUGGAUGUUGAAGACUCUAUUGGUCAAAAUAGUGGCUUCGUCUUAUCACGUUAGGACAUACUUUGACCGAAUCCAAGAAUCGAUUUUCAUCAGUACAUUCUUCAGGCACUGUCGGGCCCGCCUAUGGUGGAGGGCGAUUUGGGUAAUGAAGGUUCUAGAAUUAGCAGCGGGCGGUUGAGUUUCAAGAAAGGGAAAAUCGGAAAGGAUGAGAAAAAGGGGGAGGUGAUUAAUGUGGAUAAGCUUUAUAAAAUGAAGAGAGAGAAAGUUUCGGCUUGGACAAUGGGAGGGUUGAUUAAGGUUAUUAGGAAUUCGGAAUUGUCGACUAUUUCUGAGGUUCUUGAUGACAGCGUCGAGGAAGAAUCGGGCGAGCCGAAAGUUAUUACGAGUGAAGUCGAAGCAAGAGAUGCUGCGAAUAGAAUAUUUAGGAACGUCGCAAAACAUGGUCGCAAGUAUAUUGAAGAAGAAGAUCUUCUGCUUUUCAUGCCGAAAGAAGAAGUUGAUAAUGCGAUUCCUCUGUUUGAAGGAGCUGCAGAAUCGAGACAAAUCAAGAAGUCAUCUUUCAGAAAUUGGGUGGUAAAGGCGUACAACGAGAGAAAAUGCCUUGCAGUGUCGUUAAGCGACGCUAAAACAGCAGUGGAGGAACUUAACAAGAUCGCCUCGGGAUUAAUAUUGCUCGUGAUAGCUAUAGUAUGGUUGCUUUUAAUGGAGAUCACUACCACCAAAGUCUUGAUUUUUAUUUUUUCCCAACUUUUGUUAGUAGUUUUUAUGUUUGGAAACACGGUGAAAAUGGUAUUCGAAGCCAUGAUAUUUGUAUUCGUGGUGCACCCGUUCGAUGUUGGGGAUCGAUGCGUCAUUGACGGUGUGCAGAUGAUAGUGGAGGAAAUGAAUAUUUUGACCACGAUAUUUCUAAAACCGGAUAACGAGAAGGUGUACUAUCCUAAUUCGGUUUUGGCGAUAAAACCGAUCAGCAAUUUCAAUCGGAGCCCAGAAAUGAUGGGCGAUGCUGUGGAGUUUGCUGUCGAUUUUUCCACUUCGAUCGAGACGAUUGCAGCUUUGAGAGCUAAAAUAAAAGGGUACUUGGAGAGUAAGCCGCAGCACUGGAGUCCGAAUCACAGUGUGCAGAUAAAGGAAAUAGUAGACGUACACAAGAUUGUAAUGGCGCUAUACGUAACUCAUACAAUAAAUUUCCAAAAUUCGGGUGAGAGGGGAAACCGAAGAUCGGAUUUAGUGUUAGAACUUAAGAGAAUUUUCGAGGAGUUGGGCAUUAAAUUCAAUCUUCUUCCUCAGGAAGUGCAGAUUAGUUAUGCUCGAGACGCAAUGUUAGCACCUACUAACGGUGUAAGGAGCGAGAAGUUAACUUACUUUCCAGUAAGAAGCAAAAAACGAAGCAGCAAAUCAAUGGCUUCCACUUCCGCAGUAUCCAUGGCGAUGCCACUUACACGUGUCAGCCAAAUCAGGCAACCAAAUGCCGAAGCUUUCCUCAAGCCAACGCCGCUGAGGCGGCCGUCCAAGGCGGCCGUGGUGGUGGCGCCGAAGCCCGUCGGAAAGUUCCAGGUCAAUGCUUCGUUUAGGGAGAAGGCCGUCACCGGAUUGACGGCCGCCGCGUUGGCCGCCUCCAUGAUAGUUCCCGAUGUGGCGGAGGCCGCCAGCGGCGUCUCGCCGUCGCUCAAUAACUUCCUGCUCAGCAUCGCCGCCGGCGGCGUUGUGCUCACCGGCAUUAUUGGUGUGGUGGUCGGAGUGUCCAAUUUCGAUCCUGUCAACCGGGCUUGAGAUACAUCGAUUUUUUUUUAAUUUUUUUGAAAUAUGUUUCCAUCUUUGUAUCUAAUAUCUAUCAAAUGUGUCUAUCUUAUUACAUUUUGGUGAAUUGACUAAAUUGUUGUUUCUGUUGGCUUUA